rnacentral:rRNA from 1 species
UACGAAGGGGGCUAGCGUUGCUCGGAUUGACUGGGCGUAAAGGGCGCGUAGGCGGUUCGUACAGUCAGACGUGAACUUCCUGGGCUCAACCUGGGGGCUGCGUUUGAUACGUGCGGACUUGAGUGCGGAAGAGGGUCGUGGAAUUCCCAGUGUAGAGGUGAAAUUCGUAGAUAUUGGGAAGAACACCGGUGGCGAAGGCGGCGACCUGGUCCGAUACUGACGCUGAGGCGCGAAAGCGUGGGGAGCAAACAGG